rnacentral:misc_RNA from 1 species
GAUGAAGAACGUAGCGAAAUGCGAUAAGUAAUGUGAAUUGCAGAAUUCAGUGAAUCAUCGAAUCUUUGAACGCACAUUGCGCCCCCUGGUAUUCCGGGGGGCAUGCCUGCCCGAGCGUCAUUACAACCCUCAAGCUCAGCUUGGUAUUGGGCCCCGCCGACCCGGCGGGCCCUAAAGUCAGUGGCGGUGCCGUCCGGCUCCGAGCGUAGUAAUUCUUCUCGCUCUGGAGGUCCGGUCGUGUGCUCGCCAGCAACCCCCAAUUUUUUUCAGGUUGACCUCGGAUCAGGUAGGGAUACCCGCUGAACUUAAGCAUAUCAAUAAGCGGAGGA